rnacentral:rRNA from 1 species
GAUGAACGCUGGCGGCGUGCCUAAUACAUGCAAGUCGAGCGAACAGACGAGGAUCUUGCUCCUCUGACGUUAGCGGCGGACGGGUGAGUAACACGUGGAUAACCUACCUAUAAGACUGGGAUAACUUCGGGAAACCGGAGCUAAUACCGGAUAAUAUAUUGAACCGCAUGGUUCAAUAGUGAAAGACGGUUUUGCUGUCACUUAUAGAUGGAUCCGCGCCGCAUUAGCUAGUUGGUAAGGUAACGGCUUACCAAGGCAACGAUGCGUAGCCGACCUGAGAGGGUGAUCGGCCACACUGGAACUGAGACACGGUCCAGACUCCUACGGGAGGCAGCAGUAGGGAAUCUUCCGCAAAGGGCGAAAGCCUGACGGAGCAACGCCGCGUGAGUGAUGAAGGUCUUCGGAUCGUAAAACUCUGUUAUUAGGGAAGAACAAAUGUGUAAGUAACUAUGCACGUCUUGACGGUACCUAAUCAGAAAGCCACGGCUAACUACGUG